UGAAUCGUAUAGUUCUUCUGACUAAAACUCCCUAUUAGAUCAAUUACAAAUAACCAUUACGUUUGUGCCCUCUAAGAGGGGUUGUUACUCUUCAUUUGCAUGCAAUGUGAUUUCCAGUUGAACCAUUAUGAUUUGCAACUGUUUAUACUUCUGGCGCAGGCACUACACAACCUAAAACAAGACGGAAUGGGGUCUUUGAAUGUUCUUUCUGUCCUUACGCUUCAAAGUGGAAAUGGAAUGUGAUUACUCAUGAGAGGACGCACACAGGAGCCAAGCCGUUCACAUGUGACAUCUGCAAGAAGACAUUUGCACACAAGAGCAGUCUCGGUCCUCACUUACGCCGCCACACAGGAGAGAAGCCUUACAAGUGUCAACUCUGCUCAGUCUCGUUCAGCCUAAAGAAAUCCAUGUUAGACCACAUUAAGACGCACAGGAAAGCCAGACCGACUGUGCGCAAAGUCUGUGCCAAGUGACUUUACCGCAGCACCGAGUUGUAGUUCCACAAUACUAUUCCCAUUGGACGAACUCGUUGCAAGGUCUGUUCCCGCUCCUCUUCAACAUACAGGUGUCUUCCUGAGCACAUUAUGCGACACACAGGAGCAAGACAAGACAGAACAACAUGAGACGACAUUUACGCCGUCACGUUAACACUGCGUCAUGAGUAUGUGGAACUUUCUUGGGAGUUUGCGUAUUUCUGUUCUGUUAUCUAGUCUCGUUUACUGCAUUUCCACUUCUUACACGAAUGGCAGAAACAGCUGCCAUGUGUUUCCUUAAACUGCACUUAGGCAUUGUGAGUUCCCACAUGCACACUCUUCAGUUUCUCCUUGUUUACGCUAUUAUUAUUAUUUUUGUGUUCCGCGAAAUUUUAUGUAAAAUGUUGACAGCACUUUCUUGAGUGUAUUCUUUGUUUUGAUGCGUAUGUUUUUGCUGAUCGCAUAACCUUUGUAUUCGUGUCGAGCCAAUAGAGAAACAAUGUUGAUUUGCUGGAAUAA